AUCUCCUUGACUAACGUUUACGCCCCCUCCGAUCACUCGCUGACCGAUGCUUUUGUCGAGGACAUGCUUGCUGUCCCUCUCUGUGUGACAGGGGCAUGGCUUGUGGUGGGCGAUUUUAACCUCAUCCGUCAUCCUAGCGAGAAGAGCGGCGACAACUACGACCCUGGCCGCGUUGCCCAUUUCAACUCGUUGAUCAACACGCUAGCCCCCCAUGAGCUUCACCUGUCCGGUCGUCUUUUCAGCUGGACCAAUUGGCAGACUCCCCCAAUUCUAGCUCGGCUUGAUCGUGCAUUCUUUGACAAUGCAUGGGACAUGUCCUUCUCGGACAUAGCCCUCGUGUCGCUCCCCCGUGCCACCUCAGAUCACGUCCCUCUCCUAGUCACGACCUCUACAAAAAUCCCGACUCCUUCCAGGUUUUUCUUUGAAACCGCGUGA
rnacentral:rRNA from 1 species